rnacentral:tRNA from 1 species
GGCUCGGUAGCUCAGUCGGUAGAGCAGGGGAUUGAAAAUCCCCGUGUCGGCGGUUCGAUUCCGUCCCGAGCCAC